UUGGUUUACGAUUUUCGUAGAAUCUUAAAUGGUUUUAAUGUGGCAUAGCUAGGAAUUUUUAUCCUAACAUUCUUUUGUUCACCGUUCAUGUUAUUUUAUGAUAAAUUCGUAACUGUUUUUAUCUCGUAUUUGAUUACAAAUGAGUCUCGGUCUAAAAGAUAAUUAGAAUUCCAGAACUAAAGGCUGCAUCUUAUUUGCCGACUUAAAGCAAUGGAAUGUCCAUUGAAUCCAGCCAUUGCCGAAGGUGCCGCCAUUGAUGUUUGUUAUUUCAGAAUCCAGAUCAAGUUACUUUAGAGGAAGAACAUUAGCGUUUCAUGUAGACAUGUGCCCAUUCAUGGAAGAAAAUGAUUGCGUGAAAUGGCUAUCUCUUGUCGACGGAACUUCGUCAUUAAAUGAUUAAAUCAUGUCUUGGAUAAAGAAUUUUCUCUGGAAGGUCCUUAAUUGUAUCCUGAUUGCUGCUAGGUUUUCACGUUUUUAAAAUAAAAUUCCGAAUUAGAGCACAAUUUGACUUCUGAAGAUUUGACUAGCUGUUGGAUGUUGUUUGGUUCCGCUAUAAUGUUGAUGUAUUGUUUGGUUAUGCUCAUGCCAAUAUUUGAUUUACUUGUAACUUUCCCUCAUCAAGAAAUCUGCACCUUACAAGAAAUCAUAAUAUUUUUUUCCUGAAUUCUACUCAAAUUGGAUUCUUGAGAGGAGGCUUCUACAAAUAGAUGAAGCUGUUGAUGGAUUAGAAAGCUACAAAGACGCUUUUUCUCUAUUACGGACAUGACGUUCUUCUCUUACUAUGCAGAAACUGCCAUUCGGUUCGAAGUGCAUGUAUGGAUCUUCACCGUUUAUCAUAAUAUCCAAAUUAAUACCUAUUCAAUGAUUGCGAGAAAUAGUUACGGUAACCUCAUAAUCCACAUUGCCAUCCGUUUGCUGAAUUAUGUGACCUCAUCUUUCAUGAACGACUACCUUUUAUGAUAUUGAAGUCAACUAGU